rnacentral:rRNA from 1 species
CGAUCCAGGGAGUGGCGCACGGGUGAGUAACGCGUGGGAACCUGCCCCGAGGUACGGAACAACGGCUGGAAACGGCCGCUAAUACCGUAUGUGUCCCGAGGGAGAAAGGCUUGUCCGCCUUGGGAGGGGCCCGCGUCCGAUUAGCUAGUAGGCGGGGUAACGGCCCACCUAGGCGACGAUCGGUAGCUGGUCUGAGAGGAUGAUCAGCCACACUGGGACUGAGACACGGCCCAGACUCC